UGCAACUAUCCAAGUUAGAGCGCAUGCCCCGGGCACCCUAAUUAACUGGUCUCUCUCUUGUCAUCAGCUCUGAUCUGCUCAAAGGGAAACGAGAGAAAUUUGAUAUGUCAAUGCCUCUGUCUGUCCCUGUUAGGUUGAAAAUCAUAAACUGCUGCAUAGGGAUUUCCUUUUAUCAACCCCUAUUCCUGAAGUGAACUCUAGUCGCUCUCUAUGUUAAUUUCUUUUUAGC
rnacentral:lncRNA from 1 species